AUGUGAUGGCACAUUAUUCUAGUCAAUUAAGCUUACUAUGAAGGUGGAACUAAAAAGUCACUAAAGAGCAUACCUGUGAAACUUCUUGUGUCUGCUUUUUGUGCCCAACUUAGGGUGGAUGCUGGAAGGUAGGAUAUUGGACACUCAUAAUGGCAUAUGAUAAUGCUUCCAAUAACCAUUGAGACCUAUCUUUGUGUUAUAAAAUAAUACGAACUAGGAUUAAACCUACUAUGUGGGGAAACUUACGAGUAGCGUAGCUUGUCUUGAGUGAAUAUGGGGAAUUAAUGAUCAGUUAUAUAUUUCCUAGCUAGAUAUAUAUAAUAUUGCAUUAUGAAACCAUAAUUGCAAAAAAGAACUAAUAGUAAGAAAUUGCUUGAGGAAAUCUCCUAGAGUGACAUUCAUAUAGGAUUACAGUAUGUACUAAGUGGUAAUCAAGUCAUAUAUCUGGUGACAAUAUAUUAUCUUCUUUAAAGGGAAACCACAAACCUGGUAACGGGAUGUAGAAGAUAGGGAAAACCUACUUGACCUAAGACAUAAAGUUAACUGUAUGAAUUGCCAUUUUUAUAAA
rnacentral:sRNA from 1 species